AAUCAACGCUGGCGGCGUGCCUCAGACAUGCAAGUCGAACGAUUAAAGCUCUCUUCGGAGAGUGUAUAGAGUGGCGCACGGGUGAGUAACACGUAAGUAAUCUACCUUUAGAGUGGGGAAUAACGUCCGGAACGGACGCUAAUACCGCAUAAUGCAGCGGCAUCGCAAGAUGACAGUUGUUAAAGAUUUAUCGCUUGAAGAGGAGCUUGCGGCAGAUUA
rnacentral:rRNA from 1 species